rnacentral:rRNA from 1 species
KGCCAGCKCCAAUAGGCRUAUAUUAAAGUGGUUGCGGUUAAAACGCCCGUAGUUYGAUCARCGGAUUUKGAGAACGGUCUGCCGAUGGGCUGUACUGUUCUCCUGUCCUAUUUUCUCUAGUUCGCUCUAGGUGCUCUUCACUGAGUGUCUAGAGUGGCUGGAACUUUUACUUUGAAAAAAUKAGAGYGCUCAAAGCAGGCGUCUCAGCCUGAAUAGUGGUGCAUGGAAUAAUGGAAUAGGACCUCAGUUCUAUUUUGUUGGUUUUCGGAACAUGAGGUAAUGAUUAAGAGGGACAGACGGGGGCAUUCGUAUUGCGACGUUAGAGGUGUAAAUUCUUGGAUCGUCGCAAGACGAACUACUGCGAAAGCAUUUUGCCAAGAAUGUUUCCAUUAAUCAAGGACGAUAGUUAGAGGUUCGAAGGCGAUCAGAUACCGCCCUAGUUCUAACCGUAAACGAUGUCAACCAGCGAUCCGCAGGAGUUAUUCAUGACUCUGCGGGCAGCUUCCGGGAAACCAAAGUUUUUGGAUUCCGGGGGGAGUAUGGUUGCAAAGCUGAAACUUAAAGGAAUUGACGGAAGGGCACCACCAGGAGUGGACUGCGGCUUAAUUUGACUCAACGCGGGGAAACUCACCCGGCCCGGACACCGUAAGGAUUGACAGAUUGAGAGCUCUUUCUUGAUUCGGUGGGUGGUGGUGCAUGGCCGUUCUUAGUUGGUGGAGCGAUUUGUCUGGUUAAUUCCGAUAACGAACGAGACUCUAGCCUACUCAAAUAGAAGGCAAAUUAUUCGUUUGCUGUACUUCUUAGAGGGACUCACGGGCGUCUAGCCUCACGAGAUUGAGCAAU